rnacentral:rRNA from 1 species
GGCUUAUUGAGUUUAAUUUUAGGUCGAUCUGCCCAAUGAUAAUUUAUUGAAUGGCUGCAGUAUAAUUGACUGUACUAAGGUAGCAUAAUAAAUUGUUUUUUAAUUGAAAACUGGAAUGAAAGAAUUGAUGAAAUAUAUACUGUCUCAUAUAUAUAUAUUAUGAAUUUAAAAUUUUAGUAAAAAUGCUGAAAUAUUUUUAUGGGACGAUAAGACCCUAUAGAAUUUUAUAUUAAUAUAAAUUUAUAUAAAAUUUGUAUUAAUAUUUAAUUGGGAGGAUUAAUAAAUUUGAAUAACUUUAUUUUAAAUUAAAACUUUAAUUUAAGAGUAAUUUAUUUGAUCUUGUAUUAUUAAUUAAAAGAAAAAAUUACCUUAGGGAUAACAGCGUAAUAUCUUUUUUAAGAUCAAAUUGAUAAAGAUGAUUGCGACCUCGAUGUUGAAUUAAGAUAAAUUUUAAAUGCAGGAGUUUAAUAAUUGAGUCUGUUCGACUUUUAAAAUCUUACAUGAUUUGAGUUCAAAUCGACGUGAGU